GACGAACGCUGGCGGCGUGCUUGACACAUGCAAGUCGAACGAUGAAGCCGGAGCUUGCUCUGGUGGAUUAGUGGCGAACGGGUGAGUAACACGUGAGUAACCUGCCCUUGACUCUGGGAUAAGCGUUGGAAACGACGUCUAAUACCGGAUACGAGCUAGGACUGCAUGGUCACUAGCUGGAAAGAAUUUCGGUCAAGGAUGGACUCGCGGCCUAUCAGUUAGUUGGCGAGGUAACGGCUCACCAAGACGACGACGGGUAGCCGGCCUGAGAGGGUGACCGGCCACACUGGGACUGAGACACGGCACAGACUCCUACGGGAGGCAGCAGUGGGGAAUAUUGCACAAUGGGCGCAAGCCUGAUGCAGCAACGCCGCGUGAGGGACGACGGCCUUCGGGUUGUAAACCUCUUUUAGCAGGGAAGAAGCGCAAGUGACGGUACCUGCAGAAAAAGCACCAGCUAACUACGUGCCAGCCGCCGCAGUAAUAC
rnacentral:rRNA from 1 species